rnacentral:rRNA from 1 species
UACGAAGGGUGCUAGCGUUGUUCGGAAUUACUGGGCGUAAAGGGCUCGUAGGCGGCCAACUAAGUCGGACGUGAAAUCCCUCGGCUUAACCGGGGAACUGCGUCCGAUACUGGAUGGCUUGAGUUUGGGAGAGGGAUGCGGAAUUCCAGGUGUAGCGGUGAAAUGCGUAGAUAUCUGGAGGAACACCGGUGGCGAAGGCGGCAUCCUGGACCAACACUGACGCUGAGGAGCGAAAGCCAGGGGAGCAAACAGG